rnacentral:rRNA from 1 species
AGGAUGAACGCUGGCGGUCUGCUUAACACAUGCAAGUCGAACGGAGUACCUCGGUACUUAGUGGCGGACGGGUGAGUAACGCGUGAGAAUCUGCCCUUAGGUCGGGGACAACCAUUGGAAACGAUGGCUAAUACCGGAUAAGCCGAGAGGUAAAAGAUUAAUUGCCUAGGGAAGAGCUCGCGUCUGAUUAGCUAGUUGGUGAGGUAAAGGCUCACCAAGGCAUCGAUCAGUAGCUGGUCUGAGAGGAUGAUCAGCCACACUGGGACUGAGACACGGCCCAGACUCCUACGGGAGGCAGCAGUGGGGAAUUUUCCGCAAUGGGCGAAAGCCUGACGGAGCAAGACCGCGUGAGGGAGGAAGGCUCUUGGGUUGUAAACCCCUUUCAGCAGGGACGAAGCGCAAGUGACGGUACCUGCAGAAGAAGCGCCGGCUAACUACGUGCCAGCAGCCGC